rnacentral:rRNA from 1 species
GAUGAACGCUGGCGGCGUGCCUAAUACAUGCAAGUCGAGCGAACAGACGAGGAGCUUGCUCCUCUGACGUUAGCGGCGGACGGGUGAGUAACACGUGGAUAACCUACCUAUAAGACUGGGAUAACUUCGGGAAACCGGAGCUAAUACCGGAUAAUAUAUUGAACCGCAUGGUUCAAUAGUGAAAGACGGUUUUGCUGUCACUUAUAGAUGGAUCCGCGCCGCAUUAGCUAGUUGGUAAGGUAACGGCUUACCAAGGCAACGAUGCGUAGCCGACCUGAGUGGGUGAUCGCCCACCCUGGAGCUGAGACACGGUCCAUACUCCUACGGUAGGCAGCAGUAGGGAAUCUUCCGCAAUGGGCGAGAGCCUGACGGAGCAACGCCGCGUGAGUGAUGAAGGUCUUCGGAUCGUAAAACUCUGUUAUUAGGGAAGAACAAAUGUGUAAUUAACUGUGCACGUCUUGACGGUACCUAAUCAGAAAGCCCCGGCUAACUACGUG